rnacentral:rRNA from 1 species
CUAAGGUAGCGAAAUUCCUUGUCGGGUAAGUUCCGACCCGCACGAAAGGCGUAACGAUUUGGGCACUGUCUCAACAACAGACUCGGUGAAAUUGUAAUACCGGUGAAGAUGCCGGUUACCUGCGACAGGACGGAAAGACCCCAUGGAGCUUUACUGUAGCUUGACAUUGAGUCUCGGUGCUACAUGUACAGGAUAGGUGGGAGACUAUGAAGCAUGGACGUCAGUCUGUGUGGAGUCAUCCUUGGGAUACCACCCUUGUAGUACUGGGAUUCUAACCAGAGGCCAUGAAUCUGGUCUUGGGACACUGUCAGGUGGGCAGUUUGACUGGGGCGGUCGCCUCCUAAAAAGUAACGGAGGCGCUCAAAGGUUUCCUCAGCACGGUCGGAAAUCGUGCGAAGAGUGUAAAGGCAAAAGGAAGCUUGAUUGCAAGACAUACAGGUCGAGCAAGGACGAAAGUCGGACUUAGUGAUCCGGUGGUACCGCAUGGAAGGGCCAUCGCUCAACGGAUAAAAGCUACCCUGGGGAUAACAGGCUGAUCUCCCCCAAGAGUCCACAUCGACGGGGAGGUUUGGCACCUCGAUGUCGGCUCAUCACAUCCUGGGGCUGUAGUAGGUCCCAAGGGUUGGGCUGUUCGCCCAUUAAAGUGGUACGCGAGCUGGGUUCAGAACGUCGUGAGACAGUUCGGUCCCUAUCCGUCGCAGGCGUAGGAAAUUUGAGAAGACCUGUCCUUAGUACGAGAGGACCGGGAUGGACGUACCUCUGGUGUACCAGUUGUUCUGCCAAGGGCAUGGCUGGGUAGCUAUGUACGGAAUGGAUAAGCGCUGAAAGCAUCUAAGCGCGAAGCCAACUUCAAGAUAAGAUUUCCCACCGUAAGGGUAAGACCCCAGGAAGACUACCUGGUUGAUAGGUCGAAGGUGUAAGUGCAGUAAUGUAUUUAGCUUAUCGAUACUAAUAGGUCGAGGACUUGACCAA